rnacentral:tRNA from 1 species
GGAGGGUUGUCAGAGUGGCUUAUUGAGCCUGUUUGCUAAACAGGUGUACGCCGUUGAACGUACCACAGGUUCGAAUCCUGUACUCUCCU